rnacentral:rRNA from 1 species
AACGAACGCUGGCGGCAGGCUUAACACAUGCAAGUCGAACGAGAUCUUCGGAUCUAGUGGCAGACGGGUGAGGAACACGUGGGAACAUCCCUUUCAGUUCGGAAUAACGUUGGGAAACUAACGCUAAUACCGGAUACGUCCUUCGGGAGAAAGAUUUAUCGCUGAAAGAUUGGCCCGCGUCUGAUUAGCUAGUUGGUGAGGUAACGGCUCACCAAGGCUACGAUCAGCAGCUGGUCUGAGAGGAUGAUCAGCCACAUUGGGACUGAGACACGGCCCAAACUCCUACGGGAGGCAGCAGUGGGGAAUAUUGGACAAUGGGCGCAAGCCUGAUCCAGCCAUGCCGCGUGAGUGAUGACGGCCUUCGGGUUGUAAAGCUCUUUUGUCCGGGAAGAUAAUGACUGUACCGGAAGAAUAAGCCCCGGCAAACUUCGUGCCAGCAGCCGCCGCAG